rnacentral:rRNA from 1 species
GAUGAACGCUGGCGGCGUGCCUAAUACAUGCAAGUCGAGCGAACAGACGAGGAGCUUGCUCCUCUGACGUUAGCGGCGGACGGGUGAGUAACACGUGGAUAACCUACCUAUAAGACUGGGAUAACUUCGGGAAACCGGAGCUAAUACCAGAUAAUAUAUUGAACCGCAUGGUUCAAUAGUGAAAGACGGUUUUGCUGUCACUUAUAGAUGGAUCCGCGCCGCAUUAGCUAGUUGGUAAGGUAACGGCUUACCAAGGCAACGAUGCGUAGCCGACCUGGGAGGGUGUUCGCCCACACGGGAACGAGAAACGGGCCCGAACCCCAAGGGAGGGCAGAGGUGGGAAAUCUUCGCAAUGGGCGAAAGCCUGACGGAGCAACGCCGCGUGAGUGAUGAAGGUCUUCGGAUCGUAAAACUCUGUUAUUAGGGAAGAACAAAUGUGUAAGUAACUAUGCACGUCUCGACGGUACCUAAUCAGAAAGCCACGGCUAACUACGUG